rnacentral:snRNA from 1 species
GGAUGUGAGGGCGAUCUGGCUGCGACAUCUGUCACCCCAUUGAUCGCCAGGGUUGAUUCGGCUGAUCUGGCUGGCUAGGCGGGUGUCCCCUUCCUCCCUCACCGCUCCAUGUGCGUCCCUCCCGAAGCUGCGCGCUCAGUCGAAGAGAACGACCAUCCCCGAUACAGGAGGACCGUUCUUCGGUCAAGGGUAUACGAGUAGCUGCGCUCCCCUGCUAGAACCUCCAAACAAGCUCUCAAGAAUACACAUAUUCAGUAAAGACAUCAUUCUUUCUUGAUGGUGAAUAUGGACCUUCCAAGUCAAGGAUU